UACGGGAGGCAGCAGUGGGGAAUAUUGCACAAUGGGCGAAAGCCUGAUGCAGCUAUGCCGCGUGUAUGAAGAAGGCCUUAGGGUUGUAAAGUACUUUCAUCGGGGAGGAAAAACAAAACUAAUAAUUUUAUUUCUUGACGUUACCCGAAAAAGAAGCACCGGCUAACUCCGUGCCAGCAGCCGCGGUAAUACGGAGGGUGCUAGCGUUAAUCAGAAUUACUGGGCGUAAAGAGCACGUAGGUGGUUUUUUUAAGUCAGAUGUGAAAUCCCUGGGCUUAACCUAGGAACUGCAUUUUGAAACUGAAAUACUAGAGUAUCGUAGAGGGAGGUAGAAUUCUAGGUGUAGCGGUGAAAUGCGUAGAUAUCUGGAGGAAUACCUGUGGCGAAAGCGGCCUCCUAAACGAAUACUGACACUGAGGUGCGAAAAGCGUGGGGAGCAAAACAGGGAUUAAGAUACC
rnacentral:rRNA from 1 species